rnacentral:tRNA from 1 species
UGGUGUAAAUGGUUAACAUGUUUGACUGCUAACCAAAAGUUGGAGGUUCGAGUCCACC